rnacentral:rRNA from 1 species
UACGGGGGGGAGCAAGCGUUGUUCGGAUUUACUGGGCGUAAAGGGCGCGUAGGCGGCCACCGCAAGUCAGUUGUGAAAUCUCUGGGCUUAACCCAGAAAGGUCAACUGAUACUGCGGGGCUAGAGUGCAGAAGGGGCAACUGGAAUUCUCGGUGUAGCGGUGAAAUGCGCAGAUAUCAGGAAGAACACCCGUGGCGAAGGCGGUUCUCUGGGACGGUACUGACGCUGAGACGCGAAAGCGUGGGGAGCGAACAGG